CUCAUCACCCCCAUGUGAGGACCCAAGGAGAAGGUGGCAUCAGUAAGCCAGAAGGAGAGCCCUCACCAGAGCCUGACCAUGCUGGCACCCUGAUCAAAGACUUCCAGUCUCCAGAUCUGGGAGAAAACUCAUUUCUGUGGUUUAAGUCCUCAGUCUGUGGUUUUUAUUAUGGCAGCUCAAGCUGACCUGGAUAGGAGAAGGCUUCCUGUAGGAGUGGACCUUUGAGCUCCAACUUGAAGGAUGAGCAGGAAUUUGCUAGAAGAGAGGUGCAAUUUGCAGGACGGCAUGUUCAAAGGUGGAGCGGCUGCAAGUGCAUGUCAUGUUCUGGUGACAAAGGACAAGAUGUUGGAUGGACUGGAGUGCAGCAGCGGAGGGCUGUGAUCCAAUCUGAUUUCCUGAAAAGCCACUCUACCAGGGGCUGGAGAAGGGAUGGUGGACCAGAUGAGAAGUAAAGGAGGCCUGAGGCCCCAGGAGAAUCUCCAUGGACAGUGGAGCCUGGCGGGCUACAGUUCAUAGGGUCACAAAGAGUCGGACACGACUGAAGCGACUGAGCGUGCACGCACACACAGUGGAUUGUGGGUGGACAGCCCAGAGGUGAGGGGGAGUCGUGGGGCCGUCUAAGACAUGAAACAAGAAGUGGCUGCAGUACCUGGGGGAGAGCCCAGGGUCACUGGAGCCUCUUUCUAUGAGAGGCGCCCACAGAUGGAAGAGGGCAUGGCCCGAUGGGACACGUGGGCAGCCAGUGCUUGGUUGGAGUCACUUGGGAGGGAGAUCGUGCUGUGGCUAACACUCAGUUGAGACAGGGCCAGUAAUAAGAGAGGCUCAUAAAUCUGAC
ensembl:lncRNA